CUACCCGCCGCGCCGCUCUGCCGGCACUGCGCAGGCGCUGCAGGAGCGGCGGGUGGCGGGGCGCGUGCGUGGUUACCGUUAAGCAGUUCGAUGAGUUCUGCCGGUCUCUUCUUUUUUAUUGUUGCUGGGCUUUUUUGGGGGGGGGAAGGACACGAAACUGAGUCCUCGUGGGCCGCGUGUCACUAUGUAUCACUCCUCCUUGCUGCUGAAGCCGCUCACAAUCAAAAACCUAGCAGAAGCGGAGUGACGAGCUGCGCUCUGUAGCCCCGCGUUGGAGCAGUUGUCAGAACAGCCCCAUAACCACCGCGGUUUGCGUGUGGCUGUGGCUGGACCUGCCCAGAGCACCUUUUUUUUGCUGAUUUCUGAUGAUUUUUAAAUCAUCGAGUACCUCAGAACCACGUUAGUUUACACACCUGCCAACAGCUGCCUGCCUUGGAUGGACGCAAGCGUGUUUUAAAACGUCCGUGGUGAGAAGGUGCAGGCUGGGUCAGCGAACAAAUAAGUGUGUGUUGGCAAAAUACGUACCUUGCCUUGUGCUGAACAAAUGACAGGUGCUCUGGAACAAACACGCCACUUAUUUGUGUGCCUAAAUAUAGGUGUUGGUGCAAAAAAAAAAAAAAACACUUCUGCGAGCUCAGACUUGAUCUUUUCAUCUGUCCGUGCAGGCCAGCAAAACCCCAUCGCUAUGAAAACCUGGUAUUUGUCUCUUGAUGAGGAGAAAAAUGAGGAGAAAAGAAUAUUAGGACAAUGCAGGGUGAUAGUUAGGCGUCCUGAUGUAACCCUCAGGCAUCAGGCAAUGCCGGGUGUCCAGGCAGCCGGGUAGAGGAAUGCCCCUCUGAAAUACGUAGGCAAUGAUUGCAAAGCUCUACUUGGAUGACUGAAGGAACAGGAAGAAAUUCUGGAGGAGAAAAUGUGUUGUGUAUCUCCCUUUGUUGGCAGCAUACAUGGAAAUAGAAUUCCAGCUCAUCUGCUGAGAGCAUACACGUAGCCUUCCUUAUUUUCCCAUUUCUGACAGUAGUAAAAAUCUGAAUAACAAAUCUUCAUCUUUUUUUUUUUUUUUCAAAUUAGGAAAAGCAGCCAUUCAGCUCUUCAAAAGAUCUUCCUUAUCCUAACUAUUUGUUCCUGCCAGAACUAGUACAUACAUGGUCCCUCCUGACCUCUCAGGAGUUGUCCCAGUUCUUGUUUCUUACAACUGAACUGCUGUGAAGAUUAUUUGAAGUCAUCAAAUUCAGACAUAAUUAUAUAUUAUCAUUGAACAUUUUGCAUUGACAACAGAAUAGGGAUAUGAAGUUAUCCUUCACGGUGACAUAAAGAUACAAUUAAUUUGUCUUCAGAAACUCCAGAAGAUACAACACUUUCAGGCCAAACUUGACAGAUCCUGUGGUUUGCAUUAGCAAAACUACGUUACAGCAAGUGGAAUUGGAAGAUCAGAGAAUGAGGCCCGUUGUCUUUUAUGAUUCAAAAAGAGGGCUUUGCUGCUAACUUUCCCCUCUUCAGUCUCAGUGCCAUUUACCAUAAAUACCCUGUGUGACAUCUUUCCUCAUCCACAGGCUGUCUCGAGAAACAAGUGCAGGAGGAGGACAGUCCCAAGAUAACCAGUGAGUUGAGUUCAGAGCCAUGUACCCAGGAAGUUAAAAAGCUUUCCUGUGAACUGCAGCAUCCUGGAUGGGUUUCUUUUUGGAGCUGG